rnacentral:siRNA from 1 species
GAAGGUGCUUUUAAGCAAAACGCG